rnacentral:rRNA from 1 species
UACGACGGACGACGCCGGCGGCGUGCCUAACACAUGCAAGUCAACUUGACUGAAGGAGCAAUCUGACAGUAGAGUGGCGCAAGGGUGCGUAACGCGUAAGUAACUUGCCCCAAGGUAAGGAAUAACGUCGAGAAAUCGGCGCUAAUACCUCAUAAUGCAGCGGAUCCGCAUGGAUAUGUUGUUAAAGGUUUACCGCCUUGGGAUAGGCUUGCGUCUGAUUAGUUAGUUGGUGUGGUAACGGCACACCAAGGCUACGAUCAGUAACUGGUCUGAGAGGAUGAUCAGUCACACUGGAACUGAGACACGGUCCAGACUCCUACGGGAGGCAGCAGUGAGGAAUAUUGGGCAAUGCUCGAAAGAGUGACCCAGCAACGCCGCGUGGAGGAUGAAGGUAUUCUAUAUCGUAAACUCCUGUGAGAGCAGACGAAAGACAGAUUAUUAAUCUGGAUGACUGUAUGCUCAGAGGAAGCCCCGGCUAACUACGUG